GGUGGGGCUUGGCUUUAGUAUUUGCCCUGGAGACAUAAUAUUUCCGCAGGUUUUGUGAAGGGACAGUCUCCUACGAGGAUAUUAGUAGCAGUGUUUUUUAAACUGGAAGAAAGUCAAGGAGAGGUAGGAGAUAAAUGCAGUAAGGAUGCUGAUACUCUUAAUGGAACUGAAAUCUAACAAGUGUUCUCAGGCAACCUCUGGAGGAAUCCAGCACACGCGGAAUAUCUGCAGCCACCCCACAGCACAUCCCCAGAGCUUCAGCUCAAGAGUUUUGAGGGAGAGGAAACAGAUACCACUUGCUGGGAGAGUUAUGUGAAGGGAGGAUGCCUCCUCAUCCCCGGUGAGCUAAAUGGAACCAUACUGGGCCCUCCCCAUGCCGCACAGGAGAGAUGCUUUGCAAGGGAGUGAAAUGUUUUAUUGAAGAAACUCCAAGGAGGGAGGAAAGAAGCCCAAGCAAGGGGAAGCCUGACAGGUGGGCAGAUGGAAACAGCCCCUUUCGUGCAUGUGGCUAGAAGCUGGAAGUCCGUCCCUCGGAAGGCAUAGCAGCUGUCCACAGAUCCGGGAUGCCUUUCAUCUGCCUCCUCUUGGCUUUGGACUGAUGGGAACUGAGAAAUCCACAGCCAUCCUGUGAGAAAUGGAAAUGGGGGCCCACUUUCAGGCUCCACUCAGCUGAUAGCAAAUGGGACAGAGCCCCUGGAGUCUGCAAACUGGGGCCUUCUAUUCAAUUUUGCCACUUCUGUAAAAUGAGGAUAAAAGAGAUCUCUUUUCCUGAGUGGUUGUGAAGAUUGAGGGAAAUUAUGUAUGGGAAUUGCCUGGCAUGUAACAGGUACUCAACAAAUGUCUCUUCCAUGCUCCUCUUUCCCAGAAGUUCUCAACAGCUAUAUAGUCAAAAUAUCAUGGACUAGUCAUUUAUUCCUUAGGUCAGUUUUCUCAAGAGAAAAAACAAAAAGGAAGUAAUGAGACCCUCUUCUCCUGGGACAAUAGGAAACCACAAAUGUGAGCUCCCAAUUAAAUCCAAGGAUUAUUAGUUAGCAAUAACUGUACUUUGGAUAAACUUCUCAAGUGCUGGUAUUGCUACUACACAAGGAUAUUAAUGAAUAAUAGGUAAACAUAUCUUUUCGUUUGACAGUUUACAAAGCUUGAGGGCCAUUUCAGUGAUCACGGCUUGUACUUUUACAGGUCUUAUCUUACCCAGUUGGAUAGUCAUCAAUUAAAAAUUUAUUAAGCAUGUUAAAUAAUAUUGCGAGAUAUAGAUGGGCUCCCUGAGUUGCCACCAUGACUUUUAGAAUAACAUCUAGGGGCUAUGGGAACACAGCCCUUUCCCACAUAGUUCUAGAGUCACCAUGUUUUCUACAAUAAUCUGGUUAAAUAUUCCCUCCACAGAAACAUGUGUAUUGAAAUGUUCUCCAGACCCCUCUUGAUCGCCAAAUGUAGAGGAAGCGUCAGUCUUUAUCCCACUGCUGCUCUGGCCACAUUUGUCACCCUGGACCUCCUUGCAGACCCUUGGUGUGAGUGAGGCUAUUGGCUCCUAGCUCUUAUCUCUUUUAAUGUCACUUUUCAGCUCCUCCUUGGCCUCCACUCCUCCUGCACCUUUCACUCCUAGGAGGUUUCACCCUUCACCACUCUCUUUUCACUCUAUGGGCUCCACCUUAAUUGACACCAUCUUUUCUCUCCUGGAUGUCCUCACCUCUCAUACUCUGAUGCCUGAUACAGCAGAGACAGUAAUGCUCACCACAAACAAUAUUUGUUCCUUUACAUUUCCCAGCCCCUGCAUUUAGGUGGGGCCAUGAAACCAUCUCUAGCAGUGAUAUGUGAGCAGAUAUGAUGUAUGUCACUUCCAGCUCAGGGGGUAGAAGGCCAUGUGUGAUUCUUUAGUCUCUCUCUUCUCUUGCCAAGGUGACUGAGGAGGACUUGUGUUCUAGAUGCUGAAGUUACAAGAUGAUACAACUUUGUCAACUUGGGUCCCUGGGUGAUGAUGUAGAACACA